rnacentral:rRNA from 1 species
CCCUUAGAUGUUCUGGGCCGCACACGCGCUACACUGAAGGAGGCAGCGUGUACUCCUGGAUCGAAAGAUUUGGGUAACCCGCGAAUCUCCUUCGUGCUAGGGAUUGAGGUUUGCAAUUAUCCUUCAUGAACGAGGAAUUCCCAGUAAGUGCAUGUCAUAAGCUUGCGCUGACUACGUCCCUGCCCUUUGUACACACCGCCCGUCGCUACUACCGAUUGAAUGAUUUAGUGAGGACUUCGGACUGGGACCGAUGCGGCUUUCGGGCUGCGUCGGUAUUCUGGAAAGAUGUCCAAACUGUAUCAUUUAGAGGAAGUAAAAGUCGUAACA